AUGGCGUCGAAGCAGAUGGAGGAGAUCCAGCGGAAGCUGGCGGUGCUGGCCUACCCGCGCGCCAGCGCGCCCGCGCAGUCCCUCCUCUUCGCCGGCGUCGAGCGCUACCGCCUCCUCGAGUGGCUCUUCUUCCGGCUGCUGGGCGACAGAUCGCCGUUCACCCAGCAGAACUGGCAGGUGGACAGCCUCGACCGCGACGAGGAGAACAGCAGGAUCCAGCACUUGGCGGAGAUCGCGAAUUUCCUCGGUAUCACGCCUUCGGUCGACACUGAGGCGAUUCAGAUCUCUGGUGUGUGGUCAGAAUUGCAAACUCAGAUUCAGCGAGUGUCAUCUUUUGUGGUGUUGCAGGGCAGAGGCAGCUACGACGAGCGGGUGGAGUUCCUCCGUCUAAUUGUUGACUUGGUGGAAGCUAGCUGCUAUGCCGACAAUCCAGAGUGGAGUGUUGAUGAGCAGUUGGCAAAGGAUGUACAACUUGUAGAUUCCAUUGCUGAGAAACAGGCGCAAAUUUUUUCGGAGGAGUGCAAGCUUUUUCCUGCAGAUGUUCAAAUACAAUCGAUUUAUCCCCUGCCUGAUAUAGCAGAACUAGAGUUGAAGCUCUCUGAGUAUACCAAAAAGAUGUCAAAUCUGCAACAGAUGGUGCAGGAGCUAGCCUCAAAGUAUGACUAUAAUCCGAAUGAAGACUAUGCCGAGACAGAGUUGAAGUUGAGGGAACAUUUGCAAUCUUUUCUCGAAACAGUAAAAUCCUUCAAUAUGAUAUACACUAAGGAAAUUCAUCCUUGGACCCACAUGAUGGAGGUGCCACAGUUGCAUGGGUUUGGUCCAGCUGCUAACCGCUUGUUAGAGGCUUAUAACACACUUCUAAAGUUCCUUGGAAAUCUGAGGAGCCUGCGAGAUUCAUAUACAGCAAUGGCAGCUGGGUCACUUUCAAAUUCAAGCGAGCCCUCAUCCGUCACAAAAAUCAUUUCAGACUGUGAAUCCGCGCUCACGUUCUUAAACAACAGCCUUGCCAUCCUUUCAACUUCCGUGGCACGGGAGCAGGGUGAAACACUCUGA
rnacentral:rRNA from 1 species